GGGAUGAACGCUGGCGGUCUGCUUAACACAUGCAAGUCGAACGGAGUACCUCGGUACUUAGUGGCGGACGGGUGAGUAACGCGUGAGAAUCUGCCCUUAGGUCGGGGACAACCAUUGGAAACGAUGGCUAAUACCGGAUAAGCCGAGAGGUAAAAGAUUAAUUGCCUAGGGAAGAGCUCGCGUCUGAUUAGCUAGUUGGUGAGGUAAAGGCUCACCAAGGCAUCGAUCAGUAGCUGGUCUGAGAGGAUGAUCAGCCACACUGGGACUGAGACACGGCCCAGACUCCUACGGGAGGCGGCAGUGGGAAUUUUCCGCAAUGGGCGAAAGCCUGACGGAGCAAGACCGCGUGAGGGAGGAAGGCUCUUGGGUUGUAAACCUCGUUUUCUUGGGGAAGAACAAAAUGACGGUAUCCAAGGAAUCAGCAUCGGCUAACUCCGUGCCAGCAGCCGC
rnacentral:rRNA from 1 species